AACCACAGGUGUCUGCUAUCACACCUGGCUAAUUUUUUUACUUUUUGUAGAGAUGAGGUCUCUAUGUUGCCCAGGCUGCUCUCAAAUUCCUGGGCUCAAGCAAUCCUCGCGGCUCAGCCUCCCAAAGUGCUGGGAUUAUAGGCUUGAGUCACCACGCUCAACCUUAUUUUUUUGUCUUUUAUUUUUUUUUUUACAGACAGGGUUUCCCUCUGUUACCCAGGCUGGAGUGCAGUGGCGUGAUCUUAACUCACCGCAGCCUUGAACUCCUGGGCUCAAUGGAUCCUCCCACCGCAGCCUCCUAAGUAGCUGAGACUGCAGGUCACACCUUGGCUGUAAAGUGUCCUAACAGCCACCUACUUAUGAUUACUGCUUUCUUACCAAUAACCUCCCCAGCCUGUUGUGUGACUCCUACAUCUUGAACAAAAGCGACCAAGGCAUACAUCUGUAGGAGACCAGAAUAUGCCACCCCAAAAUAUGCCUCCUUGGCAUAAGGAUUAUUUUGAGCUAGUAAUUUUGAGAAACAGAAGCUAUAAAAACAGCAUAAGCUACCCCUUUGAAAGAGAAAUUCACCCCGGCCACCACCCCGUCUGGGAAGUGAGGAGCGUCUCUGCCUGGCCGCCCAUCGUCUGGGAUGUGAGGAGCCCCUCUGCCCGGCCGCCCAGUCUGGGAAGUGAGGAGCGCCUCUUCCCGGCCGCCAUCCCGUCUAGGAAGUGAGGAGCGUCUCUGCCCGGCCGCCCAUCGUCUGAGAUGUGGGGAGCGCCUCUGCCCCGACUCCCCGUCUGGGAAGUGAGGAGCGCCUCUGCCCGGCCGCGACCCCGUCUGGGAUCUGAGGAGUGUCUCUGCCCGACCGCCACUCCGUCUGGGAGGUGAGGAGCGUCUCUGCCCAGCCGCCCCGUCUGAGAAGUGAGGAGCCCUUCCGCCCGGCAGCCACCCCGUCCGGGAGGUGGGGGGCAGCCCCCGCCCGGCCAGCCGCCGCGUCCGGGAGGUGGGGGACAGCCCCCACCCGGCAGCCGCCCCAUCCAGGAGGUGGGGGGGCGCCUCUGCCCGGCCGCCGCCCCGUCCGAGAGGUGGGGGGCGCCUCUGCCCAGCUGCCCCGUCUGGGAAGUGAGGAGCCCCUCUGCCCGGCCGCCACCCCGUCUGGGAGGUGUGCCCAACAGCUCAUUGAGAACGGGCCAUGAUGACGAUGGCGGUUUUGUCGAGUAGAAAAGGGGGGAAAUGUGGGGAAAGGAAGGAGAGAUCAGAUUGUUGCUGUGUCUGUGUGGAGAGAAGUAGAUACAGGAGACUCCAUUUUGUUAUGUACUAAGAAAAAUUCUUCUGCCUUGGGAUGCUGUUAAUCUAUAACCUUACCCCCAACCCCAUGCUCUCUGAAACAUGUGCUGUGUCCACUCAGGGUUAAAUGGAUUAAGGGCGGUGCAAGAUGUGCUUUGUUAAACAGAUGCUUGAAGGCAGCAUGCUUGUUAAGAGUCAUCACCACUCCCUAAUCUCAAGUACCCAGGGACACAAACACUGGAAGGCCGCAGGGACCUCUGCCUAGGAAAACCAGAGACCCUUGUUCACAUGUUUAUCUGCUGACCUUCCCUCCACUAUUGUCCUAUGACCCUGCCAAAUCCCCCUCUCCGAGAAACACCCAAGAAUGAUCAAUAAA